rnacentral:rRNA from 1 species
UCAUAAGCGGAGGAAAAGAAACUAACAAGGAUUCCCCUAGUAACGGCGAGUGAACAGGGAAGAGCUCAAAUUUGUAAUCUGGCGUCCCUUGGGCGUCCGAAUUGUAAUCUAUAGAAGCGUUUUCCGUGCUGGACCAUGUCCAAGUCCCUUGGAACAGGGUAUCAAAGAGGGUGACAAUCCCGUGCUUGACAUGACGACCAGUGCUCUGUGAUACGCUCUCUACGAGUCGAGUUGUUUGGGAAUGCAGCUCAAAAUGGGUGGUGAGUUCCAUCUAAAGCUAAAUAUUGGCGAGAGACCGAUAGCGAACAAGUACCGUGAGGGAAAGAUGAAAAGCACUUUGGAAAGAGAGUUAAACAGUACGUGAAAUUGUUGAAAGGGAAACGAUUGAAGUCAGUCGUGUCCGAGAGGUUCAGCCGGUCAUGCCGGUGUAUUCCCCUCGGAUGGGUCAACGUCAGUUUGGACCGGUGGAAAAGGGCGGUUGGAAUGUGGCAGCUCCGGCUGUGUUAUAGCCUUCCGUCGCACACGCCGGUCUAGACUGAGGAAUGCAGCUCGCCUUUAUGGCUGGGGUUCUCCCACAUUCGAGCUUAGGAUGUUGACAUAAUGGCUUUAAACGACCCGUCUUGAAACACGGGACCA